rnacentral:rRNA from 1 species
UACAGAGGGUGCGAGCGUUGUUCGGAAUUACUGGGCGUAAAGCGAGUGUAGGUGGUUGUCAUAGUCAGGUGUGAAAGCCUUGAGCUCAACUCAAGAAAUGCACUUGAUACUGGGCGACUAGAGGACCGGAGAGGAUAGUGGAAUUCCCAGUGUAGUGGUGAAAUACGUAGAGAUUGGGAAGAACACCAGUGGCGAAGGCGGCUAUCUGGACGGUUUCUGACACUAAGACUCGAAAGCGUGGGGAGCAAACAGG